rnacentral:rRNA from 1 species
CGGAGUGCUUGCACUCUGUGAAAACAAAGAUACAGGGCUAGCGGGCGGACGGGGGUGAGGUAAACACGUGGGUAAACCUAGCCCAAGGGAUCGGGAUAACAACCUGGAAACAGAUGCUAAUACCGGAUAACAACAGAUGAUGCCUAUCAACUGUUUAAAAGAUGGUUCUGCUAUCACUCUUGGAUGGACCUGCGGUGCAUUAGCUAGUUGGUAGGGUAACGGCCUACCAAGGCGAUGAUGCAUAGCCCGAGUUGAGAGACUGAUCGGCCACAUUGGGACUGAGACACGGCCCAAACUCCUACGGGAGGCAGCAGUAGGGAAUCUUCCACAAUGGACGCAAGUCUGAUGGAGCAACGCCGCGUGAGUGAAGAAGGGUUUCGGCUCGUAAAGCUCUGUUGUUGGUGAAGAAGGACAGGGGGUAGUAACUGACCUUUGUUUGACGGUAAUCAAUUAGAAAGUCACGGCUAACUACGUGCCAGCAGCCGCGGUAAU